rnacentral:rRNA from 1 species
UCUGGUUGAUCCUGCCAGUAGUUAUAUGCUUGUCUCAAAGAUUAGGCCAUGCAUGUCUAAGUAUUAACGAACUAAAAGUGAAACCGCAAAAGGCUCAUUAUAUCAGUUAUGGUUCCUUAGAUCGUUAACAGUUACUUGGAUAAUUGUGGUAAUUCUAUAGCUAAUACAUGCAAUUAAAACAUCAACCUUAUGGGACAUGUGCUUUUAUUAGGCUAAAACCAAGUGAUCGCAAGAUCGUUAUAUUGGUUGAACUCUAGAUAACAUGCAGAUCGUAUGGUCUUGUACCGACGACAGAUCUUUCAAAUGUCUGCCCUAUCAACUAUUGAUGGUAGUAUCUAGGACUACCAUGGUUGCAACGGGUAACGGGCAAUCAGGGUUCGAUUCCGGAGAGGGAGCCUGAGAAACGGCUACAAUAUCUAAGGAAGGCAGCAGGCGCGUAAAUUACCCACUCCCAGCUCGGGGAGGUAGUGACGAAAAAUAACAAUACAGGACUCAUAUCCGAGGCCCUGUAAUUGGAAUGAAUACACUUUAAAUCAUUUAACAAGGACCAAUUGGAAGGCAAGUUUGGUGCCAGCAGCCGCGGUAAUUCCAGCUCCAAUAGCGUAUAUUAAAGUUGUUGCGGUUAAAACGUUCGUAAUUGAACUUGUGCUUCAUGCGGGUAGUACAACUUACAAUUGUGGUAAGCGUAUUACCGGUGGAGUUCUUAUAUGUGAUUAAAUACUUGUAUUUUUUCAUAUGUUCCUCCUAUUUAAAACCUGCAUUAGUGCUCUUAAACGAGUGUUAUUGUGGGCCGUUACUAUUACUUUGAACAAAUAAGAGUGCUUAAAGCAGGCUUCAAAUGCCUGAUUAUUCUGUGCAUGGGAUAAUGAAAUAAGACCUCUGUUCUGCUUUCAUUGGAUUUCAGAUCAAGAGGUAAUGAUUAAUGGAAGCAGUUUGGGGGAAUUAGUAUUACGACGCUAGAGCUGAAAUUCUUGGACCGUCGUAAGACUAACUUAAGCGAAAGCAUUUGCCAAAGAUGUUUUCAUUAAUCAAGAACGAAAGUUAGAGGUUCGAAGGCGAUCAGAUACCGCCCUAGUUCUAACCAUAAAAGAUGCCAGCUAGCAAUUGGGUGUAGCUACUUUUAUCGAUCAUUCAUUCAGUCGCUUCCCGGGAAACCAAAGCUUUUGGGCUCCGGGGGAAGUAUGGUUGCAAAGAUGAAACUUAAAGGAAUUGACGGAAGGGCACCACCCUUGGUGGAGCCUGCGGCUUAAUUUGACUCAACACGGGAAAACUUACCAGGUGCGAGCAUAAGUGUGUAAGACAGAUUGAUAGCUCUUUCUCGAAUCUAUGGGUGGUGGUGCAUGGCCGUUCUUAGUUCGUGGAGUGAUAAUAGAUAUCUUCAGGAUUAUGGUGCUGAAGCUUAUAUAGCCUUCAUUCAUGGUGGCAGUAAAAUGUUUAUUGUGUUUGAAUGUGUAUAUGUAAGAGGAGCCGUACCUGUUGGUUUGUCUCAUUAUAAGGACACUACCUUCUUAAAUGGACAAAUUGCGUCUAGCAAUAAUGAGAUUGAGCAAUAACAGGUCUGUGAUGCCCUUAGAUGCACGCGCGCUACAAUAAUGUUUCCUAGACCGAGAGGUCCGGGUAAACCGCUGAACCGCUUUCAUGCUUGGGAUUGUGAACUGAAACUGUUCACAUGAACUUGCAUUGAUUACGUCCCUGCCCUUUGUACACACCGCCGGUCGCUAUUUACUUACC